rnacentral:rRNA from 1 species
CGUUGUACACACCCGCCCGUCACACCACGAAAGUCGGCCAAUACCCGAAGCCGGUGAGCUAACCGCAAGGAGGCAGCCGUCGAAGGUAGGGUUGAUGAUUGGGGUG